CCUACGGGUGGCAGCAGUGAGGAAUAUUGGUCAAUGGGCGUAAGCCUGAACCAGCCAAGUCGCGUGAGGGAUGAAGGUUCUAUGGAUCGUAAACCUCUUUUAUAAGGGAAUAAAGUGUGGGACGUGUCCUAUUUUGUAUGUACCUUAUGAAUAAGGAUCGGCUCACUCCGUGCCAGCAGCCGCGGUAAUACGGAGGAUCCGAGCGUUAUCCGGAUUUAUUUGGUUUAAAGGGUGCGUAGGCGGCCUUUUUAGUCAGCGGUGAAAGUCUGUGGCUCAACCAUAGAAUUGACGUUGAAAAUGGGGGGCUUGAGGACGUUAGAGGCAGGCGGAAUGCGUGGUGUAGCGGUGAAAUGCUUAGAUAUCACGCAGAACCCCGAUUGCGAAGGCAGACUGCCAAGCCAUGACUGACGCUGAUGCACGAAAGCGUGGGGAUCAAACAGGAUUAGAUACCCUAGUAGUC
rnacentral:rRNA from 1 species